AAAACAGGCAUGGGAGAAUAUUUUUGUGAGACAGCAACUUUAUGCUCUCCUGAUAUGCAGCUGCCAUACCCCCACCCCUGACACCAUCCCAAAACUUGCAUAGGAAUAAAAUGUGAGAAAUCAGUAGUUUUUAGAGAUUUGCAACUGUAAGCCAUCAGACUGCACAUCCUCAAUUCUGCCAGUGGCUCAGUAUCCCACAGGACUCCGAGAAAACUGACUCAUUCCAAAGGGGAAAACAGGCGAAACAAGUUGGAUUGGUCAUGGGAAAUAUUGACAAAUGUCAGUGCUUAAGUGAGUGUGAAAGGUUACCUAUAGUUUACACAACUUUAAAUUUGUGGUUCAACCCCUGGAUGAACUACUAAUUAUAGAUAUCUGUCUUGAUGGUGCCUACAGCGAAAAGUUCUCAAAGGGAAUCAAUGUCCAAAUUAUAUUACAUAUCUUGGC
rnacentral:lncRNA from 1 species